UUGAAUCUGGUUUUCAGUAGACAUGCCUGUCUUCAUUCACUGCGUCGAAUGUCUCGCUGCACCUUACGUCCAUCUCUGUAGAAUUGUGAUUCCCAAGCGAAAAUAACACAUCGUGCUACGUUGGGAGUACUUAGGAUGAGCAAAUAAUGUAUGGCAAGUCUCAUUCACUAUUAUCCUUGGGAGUUGUUCCUCUCGGACCUUACUUACGGCAUCUUCCUCAGAAACCAAAAGGGAAAACAGAAAAGAGGCGAGUCCCUCCAAUAAAAUUAUGCAAUCUCUGCUUCAUGGAUGGACAGCAUCCUGAUAAAGCUCGUUAUCGACAGACGGAAAUAUCAUUCCGAACCGUGCUAGGGUUGAACCUGCUGCUUUACUUAUAUUUAGACACAUAAAGAUUAUGAAAUAUUUAUAAAAUAAAAGUCUCGAUCAUGAAAUGAAAGUUCAUACUAAUAGUUUCAAAUGACAUACUCAUCAUCAAAUGUUGUGGAAUACAGAUCGUGUAAAAAUAGGAAAACACAAAAACUUUAUUUAAAUCCAAGUUUCACCUAUUGAAAACUUAGAACCUACCGAUCAAAACAGCUGGAAUCCCACCAAUCCAUCGCUUCAAUUCAAAGUUCUAACCUGAAAGUAUGCUCAUCCCUAAUAGUAUGCUCAUCCCUAAUUCCGAGCAUCAAUCCCCAAACCAUCAUGCUCUACCUUAUGUCCUUGUGCAUAGUGUCAAAAAGGUUAUCGAGCCUAGAUUCAACAUCGCCGACCAUGGGCAACCCUUAGAUCUAGUGUACCUCCUGGCCAGCGAUGCCAUACAUGGCAAUUUCGCAAGUAGUCGUGAUCUUCGAGUAGAGAGACAAUGACACAAAUUGUGGGUGAUGCCUAAGAGCCACGACGCAAGGACUGGAGUUGAUCUAGACUCAUAAAUAUAUACACAAAGUUAAACAGAUAAAGACUCAGUCCGUUAGAGCGACAGAUUCAUUUGAAUUGCCCAAACAAACCGAUCCUUUCUUGCUCAACCAAUUUGUGGUAAGAUGCAUUUCACCACUAAAUCAAUUAUUUCUAGUAUUACCCUUGGGCCUUUGAUCAUAAUAAUGACUUUUAUUUUUUAUUUUUUAUUUUUUUUUGGUUGAAAUGGCUCAACCUCACACAAGUUAGAAAAUUAUAUAGCGAGGACCAACACCACAAUUCCUUCUCCUACAUGUAUCGUCCAAAGCUAUAAAGAACCAACCCAAAACGAAAGUUUCUUUUUUCCUUUUUUUUAUGAAAAAACGAAAGUUUCUCCCUAACAAGUCCUUGUGAAUUUCACGAUACAAUUAUAAUAUACAGAUUUUGCCAACCAAGCAAAAGCUGGACGAUGAUGGCAACGCAACGAGGCUUGCUUGUCAUAGAGGCAGGCGACGAUUGAUGAUGGAGGAGGAUCAGGAAGAAUGAGGGCUUAGAGAUCAACAAAACGAAUUUAUAGUUUAUGUUUUUAUUUUAAAUCUAUUUUCCGGUUACUUUUCUAUUUCAAAAAAUAAAAAAAUUAAUUAAUAUUAACAAACAGAUUUUUUUAUUUAUUUAAUUUCAAGGAACCAAAAAACAAAAGAAUAAAGAAAUUGAAGUGUUACCUUACACACCCUUAAUUAUUCAUUAAUUACUAAUGUGGCGUUUGUUCAAUGUUUUCAUUGUGCCACAUUAACUACUGAUAUGACACGUCAAUUUUUUUUCUAUUCAUCUUCAAUUAUAGCUUGCACGUGGACAUUGAUUUAGAAUUUAAAAAAUAAAAUUUGCUUUCUCUCUCCCUCCAUCCAUAGCCACCGCCCGUUUUUUUUUUUUUUUUUUUAAGCAUAGCCACCGCCCAUUUGGCAGACUCGAGAAUCAUGCAAUUUUUCUUCUCUUUUUUUCCCUCGCUAGCAUUCACACGACAUUAUAACUCAAUGCUAUCAUAUAAUAUGUCUGGUAAUUAUUUUCCUUUCUAAUCACCCUUAUUAAACAUAGCAAUGUAUAGCAUAAAUAUAGAUGUAUUCUUUUAUAUUUAUCUUCCACGUAUCAACAUAGCAAACUAAUAUACUUGUCAAUUGCUAUACAUCAUUUAUCAAUAAUUUGACGGUAAAAUUAAAUAUAAUUCAUAUAUGUAAUCCAAUACGGAAAAUUAUAACACAAAAACUGAGGGCAGAGAUCGAAAGCUCCUAAGUAUGAUUAUAAGCAUUUCUAAUCAUACCUACUUGCAUCUCCAUGAUAUGGACAAUGAACGAGGCCUAAUAAUUUAAAGUACCUCAAAUAAACUAAUUACAUAAAGUUUAUAUUUUUAGUUUAAAUGUCUAAGGAUUAGUAUUGUAAAAAAUUUCAAAAUAGUAGAUCUAUAUAAAUUUAUCCAAAACUAAUUUUUUUACCACCAAAACACUCAAAUUGAUACAUUUAUGAGAAAUUUUCUCUCCUUUAGUUUCUAUUAAAUUAGAUUAAUACCAUAAAAAAAACUAUAAACUAAUAUACCUAUAACAAAGGAGGGUAAAACCCCAAACUGAUACAUUUGUCAUCCAACUCAAUAAUUUUAUGGUAAAAUUUAACAGAGACUAAUAAAUGAUAAAUUUGUCAUAGGUGUACCAAUUUAUUGAUUAAAAAUUUUGUUUGAAGUAAAUUUGUCAUAAAUAUACCAGUUUAGAGUUUUUCGUCAUAUUAACACAAUUUUUAAAGCACAUUUGAAAAUCAAUGCAUUUCUUUUCUCAUUCUUUCCUAAGGCAGGAUGUGAAUAUUGGGAAUAUGCAAAAUGGAUUGCCUGACCACACAGAGGAAACUGAAUUGGCUAGUGGGGUGUAAUUCUUGGGAGUAUUGGUCCGAUUUCCGAUAUCCAAAAGUGGAACUAGUGUUGAGAUAGUCCACUAAUUAGUUUCAAGGAAGAACGAAAUUGGAUCAGACUGAGCCGACUACAUAUAUAUAUAUAUAUAUAUAUAUAUAUAUAUAUAUAUAUAAUUUUCUCUUAAAAAAAUUAGUAAAAUGUGAACUAGACAUUAACUUGGUCAAUGGUAUCGCAAGCUACUGCAUAGUGACUCUUCGCUCAUCGUCACUUUCAUCAAUAUCUUAAGAUUUGUCAUUUUCUCUCAUUGUGUACAAACAUUUUUUAGUGGGGAAAAAAGUGACCGGUUCCUGGAUCAAUUAGUUCUUUCGAUCCAAUAUUUGAAUCCACCUUGGAAUUGGACCGGAGCGGGAUUCCAAUUUUCGGAACAUGGAAAGAACCCGGGGAUAUCGAAUUCGAAUAAAUGCAGGGUUCCAGCAUAAACAAAAGUGGGGAUUACGAGGAAAUUGGUAGACGCUUCGGAAUUGCGGCCCCGCUGAUCCGACCCGAUCGGUCAUUCGGUUCGGGUCCUGCGGGGCGGACCGGGAGAUGCGAGUCUCCCAUUCCUCCCGAAGUCCAUAUCUCGUCUUCCGUCGGACUCGGGAACCGGAGAGCUUCGUUCCUCCUCCUCCGCACGAGGUAACUCUCUCUCUCUCUCUCUCUCUCUCUCUCGCCGGCGACGGAAUCUCUCGAUUCGGAAGUCAGGUUUCGCUUUUCAUCGAUUCUCCGGCGAUGUUCAGUUGAUCGGAUUCGGAAAGCGAUUGAUUUCGCCGGGAGGUUGGUUCGUUUCUGAUGAUUUUCUUUCUUUGCUUCUUUCUGCGUUUCCGCGGUUUUUCUGGUUCUCGCGAUCCCGGAGGUGAGUCUUUCUAGGUAGAUUCUCGUGUUGUCUUGUGUUGGGAAUGUCAAAAUGCCAAUAGGAAUGGAUCGCCACGGAUGCAGAGCGUGCGUGCUUCUCUUUAGUCAGAAUAGGUGCGAUUCUAUCGAUUCGUAGCCUGAUAAGCUUGAUUUGGCUGUUUCAAGGCGUGUAAUGUGUUCGGCGUCCAAGUUGAUUAGGUCGUUUGGGAGAAUGAGGUGAGCAUGAUGAGUUGCCGUUGAUGUUCGGCGAUGGAGACGUUCGGUCGCUUCUCUUUAGUCGGAAUAGGCUCGAUCCUAUCAUUCCGUAGCUUGAUAGACUUGAUUUGGUUGUGUAGAGGUGUAUAAUGUGUUUGGCAUUGUAGUUGAUUCGCUCAUUAGUGAGAAUCAGGUGAGCAUGAUGAGUUUGGCAAUUGAGACGUUUUUCGCUUCUCUUUAGUCAGAAUAGGUUUGAUCAUGUCAUUUCGUAGCUUGAUAAAGUUGAUUUGGUCAUGUCGAGGCACAUAAUGUGUUCGGCGUCGAAGCUGGUUCGCUCAUUGAUGAGAAUCAGAUGAGCAUGGCGCGUUGGUAUUGAUGUUCGCUGAUGGAGAUGUUUGUUCAUCUCAACUAAAUCAAGUUAAUAUAUUGACUGGAUGGAUAGAACAUGACUAUUUGUGAGGAGACUUUAAUGGAGGAAAGGUCUUCGUAAUGGAGCUUCUCGUUAUAGAUAUGCAGUGUUCUGUCUUUCAUUUUUAUUUGCAGUAACUGUUUGGAGUAUUAUGUUGAUAAUUGAUGUCACCACUACCAAUGCAAGUGUUUGGCGUCAUAUAUUAAUUCCGGGCUGCAAAUUACGUAAUUUCUGCAGGCUUGAAAUGUGCUUAAAAGUUGGUUAAUCCAUUCUAGGCAGUUUCUUUAGAUUUCUAAGAUCUCUGUACAUGAAGUUUGGUUUUAGACUUUAGUCAUGGGGCUUGCUUUAGAUUUUCCUAAUAAAUAGAGAAAUGAAAGGUAUCUUGUUUUCCCCCAGAAAAUGCUGCCAGAUAGUUGCCCGUACUUUAGACAAUCCAUUUUGUAUUUAGAUGGCAAACAAUUUAUCCAAUUAAUCAUGUGAUAGAGGCAGCAGGUCUCUAGAGGUAGCAUACCAAUUAUUAAUGCUCCUCCACUGAUUUAUAUUGAUGAUUUGCUAGAGGAUGUGAUGUUGCAAUCCACUAUUCAGGUUGUGUGUGCUUUAUCAGAAGGAAUUUACGGUUAAAACUGUUGUCUCAUGGGCACUCACACCAGGAAGACUUUGACUAAAUGAGCACCCUUUGUUUUUAUGGUAACCAUUCCAUGAUUUAUCUAGCCUUGCACUGUCUUUCGACUCUUUUGCUGUUUGCUUAGUGGAUGUUUUCAUGUCUCAAUCAUCACUCGAUGCAGGUGACUGUGUUUAGUCUUUUCAAAUGGAAUCAAACAUGGACCCUGAACACCACGUAAUGAUUGAAGAAAGUUCUCCUAAAAGCUUUCAAAUUGAUCCAAGAAGAGCGCGCUUCCCAUACUGCAUUGUCUGGUCACCCCUUCCGGUCAUCUCGUGGCUUAUCCCUUUCAUCGGGCAUGUUGGAAUAUGCCGAGAGGAUGGAGUAAUCUUGGACUUUGCAGGGCCCAAUUUUGUAUGCGUUGAUAACUUUACAUUUGGGGCAGCAACUCGUUACCUACAGAUAAGCAAAGAGAAGGUAGGCUCACUUUUCAAUUGUGAAGUGAACUUUCUUUUUCCCCCGAACGGCCAUGACUUCAGCUAUUGAACUCUUUACUAUACUUUGAGAUGAGAUAGCACCACUUCAUAGUUAUCGGGCAGUUUUGCACUAAACCAUGUGUUAGUGGUUUUCUAUAGUAUGAAUUAUGCCGGGCGUCAUGCUAUCUGUUCACAUGUUCUCUACAGUGUUCUUUUCUGCCCUGUAAAUCCGACUACAACGAGGAUCAAAACCAAGAGGAUGAAUUUGGAAGAGACGUGUUGACUUGGGACGAAGCACUGAGAAAGAGCACCCAGGAGUUUCAACACCAUCACUACAACCUCUUCACUUGCAACUGCCACUCCUUCGUGGCCAACAACCUGAACAGGUUGGGCUUCCGAUCUGGCGGAUGGAACAUGGUGAACCUGGUUAUCCUGUUCCUUCUGGAGGGCCGCUGGGUGAACAAGGCGGCGAUCUUGAGAUCCGUCUUGCCAUUCGUCAUCAUCUUCCCGCUUGGGCUCAUCCUGGGAGGCUCGACAUUCCUGGCAAUCUGGGCAUCAUUGACCUUCCUCCUCGUGGGGUGGUUUUUCCUCGGGACAUACUGUUUUCCGAAUGCGAUCCAGUUGUAGAGCUCUCCCCGUAGUGGCAUGUAAAAACACCUUCGCACGGAUUUCUUAUCACUCCCGCGAGACGCGGUUUUUAGUGCACACUGUAUAUACUGGCAUACUGCGGCGUCAUUCUGAUUUCUGGUCUCUUGAAUUAGUCAGUGCCUUGUGGUUGGUAGUGUCUGUUGUGCUCUGUCGGAGGGGUGGGCAGGAACUCAAAUCUUCCGUUUUAAUCUUCCGUUUUUCCAAAAUUGUAAAGAUAAAUUGAUGAAAUAUAUUUUCAUCGUAAAAUAUUUAAAUAUAAAUUAUUAUCGAUAAUAAAAAUACUUUUCAGUGAUUAAUUAUUUCGGGUGAGAAAGUAAUAUUUAAAUUAUUCAUUUUUCGGGAAAUAAAUGGAGGCCUAACUUCAGAACAAGUUGUGUGAUCCAAAAGAAUUUUUCGGAUGAAUGGAAUUUGACUCUGCAGAAUGAUUUUCUAUGUGAUAAAUUAAUUUCAUUGGUCCUAUCCGAGAGUACUUGGUUACUUAGAGUACAUUUGCUUUUGAGUAAAUUAUUUUUGGGUUAAGGCUGUUAUACAAAUUCUUUUGUAAAACGAUAUAUUUUAGAUUAUAGAUUUGUACAAGCUUUUCUUUACUCUAUUUUGGAAGUGCCGAUCGCGACAAAUUGAGCACGAGUCCAUCGUUUCAGCGAGGGAGGGAGACGAUCCUUAUCCGUCGGCCGCGGCAAAGUUGCAAUUUACGACAAAACGACAGGAUCAAACGCGAGCUGGCGUCGUACGUAUUUUAAGGAAAGUUCACCAACUUUCUUAAAUGCGCAGGAAGGCGGUUUUCCAUCAAUAACGUGGUCACCUUCUCUCCUUCUCCCUUCAUCAUUCUUCCUCCUUCCUUCUUGUGCGUGCGCGUGUUCGUGAGUGAGAGAGAGAGAGAGAGAGAUGGCGGAAGAGGGCCAGGUGAUCAGUUGCCACAGCGCCGAGUCGUGGAGCGAGCAGAUCGCCAAGAGCAACGAAUCCGACAAGCUGGUGAGAAAUUUUCGGAUCCUUUUCAUGCGUUCUGCACAUGAAUCUGGCGUUGUCGAUGCGAUAUGCUGUCAUCUAGUUCGCUUCCGUUUGUGCAAGUAGUCGUAGCAAAUGGGCAUGGCGUUCGACGAAAUGCAAUCUCGAGCCGGCUUCCGAGGCGAUGGUUUGUCUUUGAUACUUCUGGAUCGGCCGCGCAUUCGUUUGCGGUCCUUUUUUUUUUUUUUUUUUUACUUUUUGGCCCCGGCCGGGACGAACGAAACCUAAUCGGUGGAACGGAGAAAAAGAAAAAAAACAUCAGAAUUCAGAAAGAGGCACGUUGAUCUGAGCAAUGACGCUGACAGGGAAGAGAAGCAAUGCUUUUCAAGGAGAUUAUCAUCAACUUUCAUCGUUCAGACUUAGUGUUGUUCGAUAAGACUUUUUUUUUCGUUUUUUUUUCCCGAAAUCAUAUGUGAUGGGAACGGGAUCUGGAGGCGACGGCUGCGGGUUGGAAGGUGGCGGGCCGGCUGUGGCGGGAAUGGGGUGGCGAUGGUGGCGGCGGCGGGGAUGGAGGAGGAUGGCUGGCUCGAGGCCGAGGAAGAGAGAGAGAGCGCAGAGAUCGUGCGGGUUCGGCUGUCCUUGCUUAUUAGGGUUUUUAUGUGCUUAGCUGUAAAUUGACAGGCAGUGCGUUAAAGUGUGAAUGGCUUGCCGCGUCGGCUACAUAACCUCCUCCCGAAUAUGAUUCACUUGUUUGAAAUGCCACAAACAGUCUGUCGCAACACUUAGUAUGCCGAAGUUGUGAAUAGGGGUUGAUGGCAUUUUACCUGAGUUUAUAAUGCGGCGCCAUGUCUGGCCAACUCGCUGAGCAUAGGACGGGAAGAAUACUCGGUACAUAGUUCCCCGUUGUUGAUUAGGUUGCUUGGUUGAUCGUUCUCCUUUUGGACUAUCUUAAGUUUUGCUUGUAACCCAAGUAAAUCUCGCAAGAAAAGUGAUUCUUUUCGCUAAAUAGAAUCAUACUUAAGUCAUCUUUUUACUCUCGUGUGAAAUCAAGGGGGAGAAAUUUGUUCAUAUCACUCUCCUUUUCUUUUGAAUUCUAUUUUCUCAUGAAGAAAGUACAUGCAUUGCUUCUCUACUAGUACUAAAGAGGAGCUGGCUGAGUCAUAGUUUAUGACUAGUGUUGUUGUAUGGCUUUCGAAGGUAAAUACUCUGAUUUUUUAUGGCAAUAUCAGCAGUCUGCCAGUGAAUUCUUAAUAGCAGGUGAUUUUGUUUGGGUUAUUAUAUUUCUUUCAGUAUAAUUUGGUGGAAGAAUGAGCAAAUGGGUCAGUGUGGCUGAUUAAGCUCUUUGUGUUCAUGAGCUAUUGAACUGCCAAUUAACAAUUUCCAGGAUGUUUCUGCUGUAGCGUCUCAUUUUAUAACGCCACUAGUUUCGGUGAUGAAUUGGUCAGAAUUGAAAUGCAUAUGAUGAUCACCGAGUUUGUUUGUUUCUUUUUUGUUUGAAACAGGUGGUUGUCGAUUUCACUGCUUCAUGGUGCGGACCAUGCCGUUUCAUUGCACCAUUCCUAGCUGAGCUGGCCAAGAAAUUCCCUAAUGUUCUGUUUCUGAAAGUUGAUGUUGAUGAGCUGAAGGUAAAAUAAUCCGAGGACUACAUUUCCAGGGCUAUAUGAAUGAUGGAAAUUUGUCUUAAUAGAUGACAGCCUAGCUGUCUAAGUUCUGCUCUGCAAGUAUUGUUGAACUCGUGAAGGAAUGACUUUCCAUUCUUUUGCAGACGGUCGCUCAAGAGUGGGCCGUGGAGGCGAUGCCGACUUUCAUGUUUGUGAAGGGAGGAAAGAUUGUUGACAGGGUGGUAGGAGCCCAGAAGGAUCAGCUGCAGAUGACUUUAGCUAAGCACAUGGCAACCGCUUCGGCUUAAUCAUUAUAUAAAUGCUAUCAACCAAGCUACAUACAGUCUCUCUUUCUUUCUUUUAAGGAGUUGCAUGCAGUGUCCCUUUGAUGUUAUGAGAUUGCUUUGAAUCUGGUUUUCAGUAGACAUGCCUGUCUACAUUCACCGCGUCGAAUGUCUCACAGCACCUUACGUCCAUCUCUGUAGAAUUGUGAUUCCCAAGCAAAAAUAACACAUAUCAUGCUACUUUGGGAGUAUUUAGGAUGAGGAAAUAAUGUAUGGCAAGUCUCAUGCAGAUAGUGUUAUAACCGUAGAUGGUGAUUCUACGUAAUAUUGCUGCAUUAUCUGGGAUGAGGUUUGAUAGGACCUGAAUGAGUUCUAAAGACAC
rnacentral:lncRNA from 1 species